AGCGAACGCUGGCGGCAGGCCUAACACAUGCAAGUCGAACGAAGCCUUCGGGCUUAGUGGCGGACGGGUGAGUAACACGUGGGAACGUACCUUUUGGUUCGGAACAACUCAGGGAAACUUGAGCUAAUACCGGAUGAGCCCUUAGGGGGAAAGAUUUAUCGCCGAAAGAGCGGCCCGCGUUAGAUUAGCUAGUUGGUGAGGUAAAGGCUCACCAAGGCAACGAUCCAUAGCUGGUCUGAGAGGAUGAUCAGCCACACUGGGACUGAGACACGGCCCAGACUCCUACGGGAGGCAGCAGUGGGGAAUCUUGCGCAAUGGGCGAAAGCCUGACGCAGCCAUGCCGCGUGAAUGAUGAAGGUCUUAGGAUUGUAAAAUUCUUUUACCAGGGAUGAUAAUGACGGUACCUGGAGAAAAAGCCCCGGCUAACUUCGUGCCAGCAGCCGCUGUAACAC
rnacentral:rRNA from 1 species